AGAAUCAACGCUGGCGGCGUGCCUAACACAUGCAAGUCGAACGAGAAAGUGGAGCAAUCCAUGAGUAAAGUGGCGCACGGGUGAGUAACACGUGACUAACCUACCCUUGAGUGGGGAAUAACUUCGGGAAACCGAGGCUAAUACCGCAUAACACCUACGGGUCAAAGGAGCAAUUCGCUUAAGGAGGGGUCGCGGCAGAUUAGUUAGUUGGCAGGGUAAUGGCCUACCAAGACGGUGAUCUGUAUCCGGCCUGAGAGGGCGCACGGACACACUGGAACUGAAACACGGUCCAGACUCCUACGGGAGGCAGCAGUGGGGAAUUUGCGCAAUGGGGGAAACCCUGACGCAGCAACGCCGCGUGGAGGAUGAAGUCCCUUGGGACGUAAACUCCUUUCGAUCGGGACGAUUAUGACGGUACCGGAAGAAGAAGCCCCGGCUAACUUCGUGCCAGCAGCCGC
rnacentral:rRNA from 1 species